GACGAACGCUGGCGGCGUGCUUAACACAUGCAAGUCGAACGGGCCUUGUCCCCUUUUUUUUGGGGGUGGGGUUAGUGGCGAACGGGUGAGUAACACGUGAGUAACCUGCCCCUCACUUCUGGAUAACCGCUUGAAAGGGUGGCUAAUACGGGGUGUUCUGGCCUGCUCGCAUGGGUGGGUUUGGAAAGAUUCGACCGGUUUUGGUUGUUUUGGUGGGGGAUGGGCUCGCGGCCUAUCAGCUUGCUGGUGGGGUGAUGGCCUGCCAAGGCUUUGACGGGUAGCCGGCCUGAGAGGGUGGGCGGUCACACUGGGACUGAGACACGGCCCAGACUCCGACGGGAGGCAGCAGUGGGGAAUAUUGCACAAUGGGCGCAAGCCUGAUGCAGCGACGCCGCGUGAGGGAUGGAGGCCUUCGGGUUGUGAACCUCUUUCGCCAGUGAAGAAGGUCCUGCUCUUUGUGGUGGGGUUGACGGUAGCUGGGUUAAUGAAGCGCCGGCUAACUACGUG
rnacentral:rRNA from 1 species